AUGACGUGGAUUGAUUACAAAAAGGCCUUUGACUCACUCCCACACAGCUGGAUCAUCAAGUGCCUGGAUGCCAUUGGGAUUUGUAAAAACGUUGGCACCUUCAUUGAAAACAUGAUGGAGCACUGGAAAACUGAACUGUUUGUUGGAAAUGAAAGCUAUGGACUUGUCAACAUCAGAAGAGGAAUUUUCCAGGGAGAUUCAUUGUCCCCUCUGCUUUUCAUUAUUGCCAUGAUCCCUCUGUCAACAAUCUUACAAAAAACAAAUCUCGGCUAUCAAACAUCUAAGAAAUCUCACAAAAUUUCGCAUCUGAUAUACAUGGAUGACCUGAAGCUGUAUGGGAAAACAGAAACUGAAAUCCAGUCUCUGACCAACACUGUCCGAAUUUUUAGCACUGAUAUCAGAAUGGAGUUUGGUUUGGACAAAUGUUUGACAGUGACAUUGAAGAAAGGAAAAAUCAUUGAAAGUGAGGGCAUAAAUAUGCCUAAUGGCCAAACAAUAAAGUGUCACCAGCCAAAGGCCUAUAAAUAUCUGGGCAUACUACAGCUGGACAACAUCAAGCAUGAACGUGUAAAAACUGUGGUCAGCAAAGAAUACACACAAAGGGUCAGAAAAAUUCUCAAAAGCAAGUUCAAUGGAGGCAACACCAUCAAGGCCAUAAAUACCUGGGCCAUACUUGUCAUAAGAUAUACUGCUGGCAUUAUAAAUUGGACACAGGUGGAACUGGACAAUUUGGACAGAAAAACAAGAAAACUCAUGACCAUUCAUCAUUCACUGCACCCUCGCAGUGAUGUUGACCGGUUAUAUCUGCUUAGAAGAUCAGGGGGCAGAGGAUUCUUACAAGUAAAACAAGCAGUCAAAGAAGAAGAACAUGCCCUGGCAGAAUAUGUAAAGCAAAGUGAAGAACCUGCUUUGACGUCAAAAAUCAGAAACUCCUCAAAUCACAGCAGACAAAAAACCAGUACAAGAAAACCGCACUACAAACUAGAGCUGACAGCUGGCAUAACAAAACAUUGCAUGGAAAGUUCCUUGACAAAAUUGAAGGAAAAGCUUAUAAGGAGAAGACCUGGCUCUGGCUCACAAAUGGGACCCUGA
rnacentral:lncRNA from 1 species